UCAUCAUUUUAUAGACCUUUGCUGUCACCUUUUUCUGGACCUAUGCUGUCAUCAGGUCCAGAAAAAGGUGACAGCAAAGGUCCAUAAAAUAUGCUGU
rnacentral:pre_miRNA from 1 species